GGUGCUUUGAGUUCCAAGGGCCAGUUGGACAGGGUAACUAGCAGGCCAGGCACCUAAUUUAAGUAGAUCUUUGAAUGCCUUUGUGGAAGGUGAAUCAGUGAGAAAGAUGGUACUUAUGAUUGUUUGGUUACAAAUAAAUUGCUGGUAAUAGCAAAGAAGUUCUAAGUUACAGGAAAAGAGCCAUAAGUGUGUUACUGGACUUAUGAUGAAAUUUCAAGUAAAGGACAGAAAUGCCAUACUUCUUGCAGUACUGCCUGGAUUCAAGGGCAUGUUGUUUAUUUGUGGGCUUCUGAUACUGUGCUGCUAUCAAGCCUCCUUCAGAUGGGCCUUACUCAUGGAUUGGGGUACACAAGAUGCGAUGCAGUCCUUUUGUGAGGGGAAGUCCAGAGCAAUUUUGUUAUGUUUGAGAAGCAGACUAUCUUUGAGGAGAGCUUCGUUAACCUGAAGAAUGUGCCUACACCAGGAUUUCUCCUGCUAUAUUUUUAGAGAGCUUGGUGUUUAUCUAG
rnacentral:lncRNA from 1 species